rnacentral:snRNA from 1 species
GGAUGUGAGGGCCAUCUGGCUGCAACAUCUGUCACCUCAUUGAUAGCCAGGGUUGCUUCAGCUGAUCUGGCUGGCUAGAUGGGUGUCGCCUUCCUCCAUCAGCUCUCCAUGUGUGUCCCUUCCGAAGCUGCAUGCUCAGUCAAAGAGGAUGACCACCUCCCUACCUCCGAUAGAGGAGGAUGGUUCUUUUGUAUUAUCAGCCUACUGUUAAUUCUAUUGUCAAUUUAUUUCAGAUAUUGCAUUUUUUAUAUCUAAAAUUUGUUUUUAUU